rnacentral:rRNA from 1 species
GAUCCUGGCUUAGGAUGAACGCUAGCGGCAGGCUUAACACAUGCAAGUCGAGGGGCAACGCGAGUAGCAAUACUUGGCGGCGACCGGCGCAAGGGUGCGUAACGCGUGAGCAACAUGCCCGUAUCAGGGGGAUAAUCCAGGGAAACUUGGUCUAAUACCCCAUAGUAAUUUUGUAAGGCAUCUUAUAAGAUUUAAAGCUUUGGUGGAUACGGAUUGGCUCGCGUGACAUUAGCUGGAUGGUAAGGUAACGGCUUACCAUGGCUAUGAUGUCUAGGGGUUCUGAGAGGAAGGUCCCCCACACUGGAACUGAGACACGGUCCAGACUCCUACGGGAGGCAGCAGUGAGGAAUAUUGGACAAUGGAUGGAAAUCUGAUCCAGCCAUGCCGCGUGAAGGAAGAAGGUCCUAUGGAUUGUAAACUUCUUUUGUAUGGGAGCAAUAAGGCCUACGAGUAGGUUGAUGAGAGUACCAUACGAAUAAGCACCGGCUAACUCCGUGCCAGCCGCUGC